GGGUUUGCAUUGCCGUUGUUUUUUUGUUCGGCGACCCUCAUUGUAAUAUAGAAAUUGUUCCAUUUUUGUUUAUUUCAUUUGAAAAAAUUGUUUUAAAAAUGAACCACCGGCUCGGAUAUAUUUAUGGCUCGUCGAAAUUUAAAAUCGCGCAGUCGUGUUUAAAAAACCAUCCCUUAAAUUUGAAUUCGAUACGGUAGCGGUAUAUGCAAAACAGAUGAAUAAAUUCAAUGUGAUGAACAGUUUAUUGAAAGCCUUGGAUGGGAAACGUUGCGCCAAUAAAGGAUCGUCGCACAAAAUGGAUUACAGUGAAAAUUUGGAUUAUUUGUUAAUUGAGACCAUCAGUCAAAGCAGCGAUCCCGGUUAAUAUUGAAUUUCGAAAGAUAUUCAAUCGCUACUACACGACAGAAACAGAAAAGACUGCAACGAAUUAUCACACAGGCAUACGCUGCAACGACCGACAGGAACACAUGUCUCUGUUGACUUCAUCAACCCAUAUUAUGUCCCCAAUCGACUGCUACAGCGGAAAGGUUCAUGUGGGGUAGAAGUUAAUUUAUUUCUCAACGAAUUACUUUGAAUACAAAAUGAGGAUUUACCAAUGCACAUGGAUUGAAGCCAACAAAAUUUUUCAUCAGCCAAACGAGAUGAUUACAUACAUAUACUGAUUUCCUUAUGUAACCAUUUAUACACACACAAAAGACUCAUACAGUGAGUUUUGUGAAGAAUGGAUGGAAGUCAAGCAAAACAUCUCCAUGCACAUCUCUACUUAUUCCGUCGUUAUCUUAGCUGACCAGUGCCAGUACGAAAGAGAACAUUAUUAUUGAAGUGAGGGAUAUAUAAACUGUAACGUAACAUACAAAUUGAAUAUUGAGCUGACAGACUGUGUUAAUUGAAUUAAGAAUGGACUCAUGGAAGGGCUUGAGAAAAAAAUAUUCAUUUUUUUGAUCCGAGCAUUAUUAAUGGUAAUGAAGGAAUCGCACACGACAAGACAUUUGGAUUGUAGACAUCAAAUUUCUCAUCAUGUGCUUAUUGACAUGCUAAGCCAACUCGAACUUAGAUGACCAGUUAAACCGGACAAGCAGGAAGAUAUCACAAUAUUUUAGAAAUGUUCCUCUUUUGCGAUGAGGAAUUUUAAAAAAACAUUUCGCCUUCUAACUCUUUCAUAUUUGUAAGAAGGAUGGGCGAAUUGAAAAAAUCAGAACGUGAACGAGGGCGGCACACAAAACGAAAAAAUCCUGGCAUUUGUAAAGCACAGGCUCCAUAAGCUUAAUGGUAGAGCUACGCAGAAACUCCGAAAAAUUCUGGAAAA